rnacentral:ncRNA from 1 species
AAUAAUAAGAAUAAUAAUAAUAAUAAUAAUAAUAAUAAUAAUAAUAAUAAUAAUAAUAAAAAUCGAUCCUUUAGUCUUUAGGAGUUUUAAGCUAGAGGUGUCAGAAAAGUUACCACAGGGGUAACUGGCUUGUGGCAGCCAAGCGUUCAUAGCGACGUUGCUUUUUGAUCCUUCGAUGUCGGCUCUUCCUAUCAUUGCGAAGCAGAAUUCGCCAAGUGUUGGAUUGUUCACCCACUAAUAGGGAACGUGAGCUGGGUUUAGACCGUCGUGAGACAGGUUAGUUUUACCCUACUGAUGAAGUGUUGUUGCAAUAGUAAUUCUGCUCAGUACGAGAGGAACCGCAGAUUCAGACAAUUGGCAUUUGCACUUGGCUGAAAAGCCAAUGGCGCGAAGCUACCAUCUGUUGGAUUAUGACUGAACGCCUCUAAGUCAGAAUCCUUGCUAGAACGCAACGAUAAUUACCUCCGGAGAAUCUUAGGCGAACAAGGAUAGAGAACGGGCUUGCCCGCUCUCCUGCGUCCCAAUGUGCCAAGAGGGAAAACAACCCUCAAGGCACUAAAGUAUAUCAAAGUUUAAAAUUUCUGGAGAUAAAUCCUUUGCAGACGACUUAAAUAAAGAACGGGGUAUUGUACGUUGUAGAGUAGCCUUGUUGCUACGAUCUUCUGAGAUUAAGCCUUUGUUCUACGAUUUGUUCGAUUUUUUUUCAGCGCAUUCCGAUAUACGCCUAUGUGCGCCCACUUGUAUCGUACCGUAGAGCUCAAGCCGUGUCAACUAGCCCUAAGCCUGUGUGUGCCAUCGUGCUAGGGUAAGGGUUGGCGCUAGGCUAGCCCUAACUCCAACCCUAGCUCUAACCCUAACCCAAACCCUAGUCCUUACCCCAACCCAAGCCCUAACCCCAUCCCUAGUCCUAAAGGACACUAGGGCUACUAGGGCUAGGGUUUCUUCCAAAAAUUCUGUUAGGAUUGGGAUAUACGCCUAUCUGCGCUGACUUGCAUUUUUUUAGAGCCAACCCGGAACUUCUAGUCCUCCAAGGUGUGGAAAAAAGGCGAGUGCCAAACUUUGAGUAUAUGGGGAAAAACAUUAGCUCAUCUUGAUCGGUAUCCCGAGAGGACUCAAACCAUACCAUACCUUUUGGUCAUACUCUCGAGUUUGGCACUCGCCUUUUGCCAACUCGAUCAGGACUGUAAGGUCCACUCCAAUUUUUCGACAAAGUGCCCCUGUUGCACUUCUUGGCCGAGAAAACUAAGUGUAUAUGUAGGGGUGUGUGUGCUUGAGAAAGGCAAUGGAAAGGCAUGGCGGCAAUAGGCGGCGGCGGCACGAAAGUUACUGCGUGGGCCCGACGCGAUCGCGGUCCGUUCAGAAUUUGCAGUGCUGGCCCGAUUCAGAAAGAGCCAUGGCACUUUUCGAAAGGAUAAUCGUGGUUGUGUUCCGAGCUGUCCGAUGGAUAAGCACCGUGUCGAAACGCGAGAGGCGUGCGUAAGCAAAGGUCUCAUUGAGAGUUGUGUGUCGAGUGCCUUCGGUUCAGGACGUGAGGAGCCUGUUCAGGGAGCAUUUUGCCGCAGCUCGAGGUUCACCUUUGAAAGACGUGGCAAAGAGAAAGAUCGCGGAAGGUUGCGCGACAAUGCGUCGUCGGCCCAAGCGAUUCUGCUGGAGAUUGUUAAAAGAAAAGUCACUAGGAAAGCGACGUGUGCCCGUUGCUUUGCAGGUUGGCCCGUGUGGACCAUCCGCCGUGUAGCUAUCUGGUUGAUCCUGCCAGUAGUCAUAUGCUUGUCUCAAAGAUUAAGCCAUGCAUGUCUAAGUAUAAGCACUUGUACUGUGAAACUGCGAAUGGCUCAUUAAAUCAGUUAUCGUUUAUUUGAUUGUACCUUUACUACUUGGAUAACCGUGGUAAUUCUAGAGCUAAUACAUGC